rnacentral:snRNA from 1 species
UUUCAUAAAAGUUUUAUUACAUGUACACUAGGCUGUUAAGAUUAGCAUGGCCCUUGCGCAAGGAUGACACACAAAUCAAGAAAUGGUCCAAAUUCUU